CAGUGACAGUUUGCUCCUCUGCCCAUAGCAGCAGCAGAUUCUGUCUAGCAAGGCAGUGUGCUCCCAAGGGUCCUCCUGGUCAGCAUGCAGUGCCCUUAAUUAUGAGGGAGUUCUACACAAAGGGGAGUGAGAUCCCAGUUAGUUUCUCAAGCACUCUAGUAUUUGCCUGCAAGUGUGGGCAGUUGUGUUGAAUGUAAAGAACAAGAGAACUCACAGUCUGGACUAAGAACACUGGAAGGCUCUGGGUUCCUCAGGCACUCUGAAGGAGGAAUAUUCUGUGCAAGCUGGAGAUACUUUUGUUCCCCCAGGAACUUUGCAAAGCUCCAACAGCGUGUCAAUAGCUCAUUAUCGUGGUCAUGUAAAAAUGGAAACAGAAAGAAGAAAGCUGAGUUCACACAGAACCAAGCGCUGAUGGAUGCUUGCGGUAGAAUGGAUAGCCUCGCGAUGAUGCGAUAAACCAUGAACUCGGACUCGAACCCAGCUCCCUAGUCAGUCCGGCACCCACACCUGGGCUGAUGAACAGAAGGAAAGUAAUUGUGUAAGUGGUUCUCAAAGUGUAGGCCCCAGACCAGCAGCUUUCAGCAACACCUGGGAACUUACCAGAAAUGUAGACGAUCUGGCCCUGUCUCAGACCUACUGAGUCAGGAAUUCUGAGGGAGUCCCCAUAAUUGUUUUAACAAGUCCCCCCUUGUUUUAACAAGCCCUCCAGGAGAUUUUAGUGUUCCCUCAAGUUCGAAAACCUCUGUGUUAAAACAUGUAAGUAAGAAUAAAAACCCCCACCAUGUGCAGGUAAAUGGCAGCUUACUCUGUUCUCAUCUGUAAGACAGCAGUGGGCAAUCUAGGCAGAGCUGUCCAGGUCCUGCCCCCUCCUUCUGGCAUCUGAUUAAUGAGGAUCCCUCAAGGUCUGGAACCCAGGGACCCCAGCGCAGAGGCCAUUCUGGCAGUUUCACAGCCACUGAGAUCUGGAAGAGGAAAUGAAAGGAGCAAAGAUCCAUUUACUUUUCUAAGAAGCUCUGACAAAAUUCUUCAUAUGGUUGACACAUCCCUGAACCCGCCCCCACAACAUCCUGAGGGAGGGGGCCGGCCACCCUUCUCCCAGUUCCCCCACAUGACUAAGUGUGUGACCCACAUAUGACUCACUCACCUCCCUCCCCCACCGUGAUUUGCACCACCUGCUUCUCGGGCCCCAAUACCCAGGUCCAGAAUUGGUGAAGUGGGGAGGGGAUAAUCAGGAUGCUUGAUAGCACUGGGACUGGCUUGCAGCCUGCUGCUGGGGUGGAAGCCUGGCUGGGAAAGGCGGGCAGAGGAAGGAUGUGAGGCACGUUGCAAAGGACCUUGACGUCUGAUGUCCCUUCUCGAAUUCAUAACUACCUGGGCUGCAAAGUGCUGUGUGUUAGCAUUAAUAUCACUUCUGGAGCUUGAGGGAAAAAAACCCAGAGAAUCUGGUGCAGUUUGCUUGGGUUCAGGCCCCACGUGAUUCAGCUCCACAGUCAGGGCUGAGACCACUGGCUGGUUCCACUUUAUUCUGGUCCCUUUUCAGUGAACAUCGCUUAAUAAAAGAAACAGCUGCCUGGA